GAUGAACGCUAGCGGCAGGCUUAAUACAUGCAAGUCGAACGGCAGCACUUCGGGUGGCGAGUGGCGCACGGGUGAGUAACGCGUACAAAAUCUACCUCUAACUGGGGGAAAGUCGCUGGAAACGGCGAAUAAUCCCGCAUAAGACCCCACUACCGCAUGGUAGAGUGGUAAAAGACUUCGGUUGGUAAGAGGUGAUUGUG
rnacentral:rRNA from 1 species